rnacentral:rRNA from 1 species
UGGGGAAUUUUGGACAAUGGGCGCAAGCCUGAUCCAGCCAUGCCGCGUGCGGGAAGAAGGCCUUCGGGUUGUAAACCGCUUUUGUCAGGGAAGAAAUCUUCUGAGUUAAUACCUCGGGAGGAUGACGGUACCUGAAGAAUAAGCACCGGCUAACUACGUGCCAGCAGCCGCGGUAAUACGUAGGGUGCAAGCGUUAAUCGGAAUUACUGGGCGUAAAGCGUGCGCAGGCGGUUUUGUAAGACAGAGGUGAAAUCCCCGGGCUCAACCUGGGAACUGCCUUUGUGACCGCAAGGCUUGAGUGCGGCAGAGGGGGAUGGAAUUCCGCGUGUAGCAGUGAAAUGCGUAGAUAUGCGGAGGAACACCGAUGGCGAAGGCAAUCCCCUGGGCCUGCACUGACGCUCAUGCACGAAAAGCGUGGGGAGCAAAACAGGAUUAGAUACCCUGGUAGUCCACGCCCUAAAACGAUGUCAACUGGUUGUUGGGGAAGGUUCCUUCUCAGUAACGUAGCUAAACGCGUGAAAGUUGACCGCCUGGGGAGUACGGCCGCAAGGUUGAAACUUAAAUGAAUUGACGGGGUCAUAGCUGUUUCCU